GACGAACGCUGGCGGCGUGCUUAACACAUGCAAGUCGAGCGGUAAGGCCCUUUCGGGGGUACGACGAGCGGCGAACGGGUGAGUAACACGUGGGUGACCUGCCCUCAGCUCUGGGAUAAGCCUGGGAAACCGGGUCUAAUACCGGAUAUGACUCCAUGACGCAUGUUGUGGGGUGGAAAGCCUUGUGCGGCUGAGGAUGGGCCCGGCGGCCUAUCAGCUUGUUGGUGGGGUGAUGGCCUACCAAGGCGACGACGGUAGCCGGCCUGAGAGGGCGACCGGCCACACUGGGACUGAGACACGGCCCAGACUCCUACGGGAGGCAGCAGUGGGGAAUCUUGCGCAAUGGGCGAAAGCCUGACGCAGCGACGCCGCGUGAGGGAUGACGGCCU
rnacentral:rRNA from 1 species